rnacentral:tRNA from 1 species
GGCUGUAGCUCAGUGGCAGAGCACUUGCUUAGCAUGCGUGAGGUGCUGGGUUCAAUCCUCAGAACCA